rnacentral:rRNA from 1 species
GUAAGCGCGCGUAGGCGGUUUUUUAAGUCUGAUGUGAAAGCCCACGGCUCAACCGUGGAGGGUCAUUGGAAACUGGAAAACUUGAGUGCAGAAGAGGAAAGUGGAAUUCCAUGUGUAGCGGUGAAAUGCGCAGAGAUAUGGAGGAACACCAGUGGCGAAGGCGACUUUCUGGUCUGUAACUGACGCUGAUGUGCGAAAGCGUGGGGAUCAAACAGGAUUAAAUACCCUGGUAGUCCACGCCGUAAACGAUGAGUGCUAAGUGUUAGGGGGUUUCCGCCCCUUAGUGCUGCAGCUAACGCAUUAAGCACUCCGCCUGGGGAGUACGACCGCAAGGUUGAAACUCAGAAGGAAUUGACGGGGACCCGCACAAGCGGUGGAGCAUGUGGUUUAAUUCGAAGCAACGCGAAGAACCUUACCAAAUCUUGACAUCCUCUGACCCCUCUAG